GACGUAGGAUGCAAGCGUUGUCCGGAUUUAUUGGGCGUAAAGAGUUCGUAGGUGGUUCGUUAAGUCUGAUGUUAAAGAUCGAGGCUCAACCUCGGGAGUGCAUUGGAUACUGGCGGACUGGAGUGUGGUAGAGGCUAGUGGAAUUCCCAGUGUAGCGGUGAAAUGCGUAGAUAUUGGGAAGAACACCGGUGGCGUAGGCGACUAGCUGGGCCAUAACUGACACUGAGGAACGAAAGCCAGGGGAGCGAAU
rnacentral:rRNA from 1 species